GGGCCCGUGGGGUAGCUUGGCAUCCUUGUGGCUUUGGGAGCCAUUGACGCAGAUUCAAAUUCUGCCGGGCCCACCA
rnacentral:tRNA from 2 species